GAAUUGAAGAGUUUGAUCAUGGCUCAGAUUGAACGCUGGCGGCAGGCCUAACACAUGCAAGUCGAACGGUAACAGGAAGCGCUUGCUGCUUCGCUGACGAGUGGCGGACGGGUGAGUAAUGUCUGGGAAACUGCCUGAUGGAGGGGGAUAACUACUGGAAACGGUAGCUAAUACCGCAUAACGUCGCAAGACCAAAGAGGGGGACCUUCGGGCCUCUUGCCAUCGGAUGUGCCCAGAUGGGAUUAGCUUGUUGGUGGGGUAACGGCUCACC
rnacentral:rRNA from 1 species